GGCAACCCUGACGGAGCAACGCCGCGUGUGGGAGGACGGCCUUCGGGUUGUAAACCACUUUUCUCAGGGAAGAAGGACUGACGGUACCUGAGGAAUAAGCCUCGGCUAACUCCGUGCCAGCAGCCGCGGUAAGACGGAGGAGGCAAGCGUUAUCCGGAAUUAUUGGGCGUAAAGCGUCCGUAGGUGGUGAAUCAAGUCUGCUGUCAAAGCGUGGGGCUUAACUCCAUAGAGGCAGUGGAAACUGGUUGACUAGAGUGCGGUAGGGGUCGAGGGAAUUCCCAGUGUAGCGGUGAAAUGCGUAGAUAUUGGGAAGAACACCAGUGGCGAAAGCGCUCGACUGGGCCUGCACUGACACUGAGGGACGAAAGCUAGGGGAGCG
rnacentral:rRNA from 1 species